GUCGAACGGUAACAGGCCGCAAGGUGCUGACGAGUGGCGAACGGGUGAGUAAUGCAUCGGAACGUGCCCAGUCGUGGGGGAUAACGCAGCGAAAGCUGUGCUAAUACCGCAUACGAUCUAUGGAUGAAAGCGGGGGACCGUAAGGCCUCGCGCGAUUGGAGCGGCCGAUGUCAGAUUAGCUAGUUGGUGGGGUAAAGGCCCACCAAGGCGACGAUCUGUAGCUGGUCUGAGAGGACGACCAGCCACACUGGGACUGAGACACGGCCCAGACUCCUACGGGAGGCAGCAGUGGGGAAUUUUGGACAAUGGGCGCAAGCCUGAUCCAGCAAUGCCGCGUGCAGGAAGAAGGCCUUCGGGUUGUAAACUGCUUUUGUACGGAGCGAAACGGUCCGGGUUAAUACCCUGGGCUAAUGACGGUACCGUAAGAAUAAGCACCGGCUAACUACGUGCCAGCAGCCGCGGUAAUACGUAGGGUGCAAGCGUUAAUCGGAAUUACUGGGCGUAAAGCGUGCGCAGGCGGUGAUGUAAGACAGGCGUGAAAUCCCCGGGCUCAACCUGGGAAUUGCGCUUGUGACUGCAUCGCUGGAGUGCGGCAGAGGGGGAUGGAAUUCCGCGUGUAGCAGUGAAAUGCGUAGAUAUGCGGAGGAACACCGAUGGCGAAGGCAAUCCCCUGGGCCUGCACUGACGCUCAUGCACGAAAGCGUGGGGAGCAAACAGGAUUAGAUACCCUGGUAGUCCACGCCCUAAACGAUGUCAACUGGUUGUUGGGUCUCUUCUGACUCAGUAACGAAGCUAACGCGUGAAGUUGACCGCCUGGGGAGUACGGCCGCAAGGUUGAACUCAAAGGAAUUGACGGGGACCCGCACAGCGGUGGAUGAUGUGGUUUAAUUCGAUGCAACGCGAAAACCUUACCCACCUUUGACAUGUACGGAAUUUGCCAGAGAUGGCUUAGUGCUCGAAAGAAAGCCGUAC
rnacentral:rRNA from 1 species